GAGUUCUCAACAGAGGUUAUAGCAAACACAAAGAUCCUGUGGCAGGAAAGAACUUGCCAGUGUCCAGAGGUAGAACUACAUUGCCAGACACAAACAUACUGACAACAUACACACGAAUAGGCACCAAAGUCUUUCUAAAAUGUUUUGCUAAAUACAUUUUAGAGUCGAUACAAAAGUAUUUAUAAAUAUGGCUACUAUACCAAAAAUAACAGUAUCUCACCAUCCAGUUUCAAAAAUUAAAUAUAACCAUUAAAUUUGAAACCCCCAGAUGCUCCUCCUCCAUCCCAUCCUAUCUCCCCAGAGAAUCCCUAAUUCCUAAACUGAAUUCUGCUUAUUACCUUUACGUCUUUUUGUUUUGUUUUGUUCUUGUUUGGUGAAUUUUGGGGAGUGGGGGGUACUAGAGAUUGAACCCGGGGGUACUUUACCACUGAGCUACAC
rnacentral:lncRNA from 1 species